rnacentral:rRNA from 1 species
CGUGUAGGCGGAGAUGCAAGUCAGGAGUGAAAUCCCGGGGCUCAACCCCGGAACUGCUCUUGAAACUGUAUCCCUUGAGUGUCGGAGAGGCAAGCGGAAUUCCUAGUGUAGCGGUGAAAUGCGUAGAUAUUAGGAGGAACACCAGUGGCGAAGGCGGCUUGCUGGACGAUAACUGACGCUGAGGCGCGAAAGCGUGGGGAGCAAACA